AAUGAACGUUGGCGGCAGGCUUAACACAUGCAAGUCGAACGAAAAGUUAACUUCGGUUAGCGGAUUCGUGGCGGACGGGUGAGUAAUACAUAGGUAACGUGCCCUAGAGAGGGGGAUAACAUUUGGAAACGAAUGCUAAUACCCCAUAUGCCUUUAAGUCUUAAGACUGCAAGGGAAAUAUUUAUAGCUCUAGGAUCGGCCUGUACGGUAUCAGUUUGUUGGUGAGGUAAUGGCUCACCAAGACUAUGACGCCUAACUGGUUUGAGAGGAUGAUCAGUCACACUGGAACUGAGACACGGUCCAG
rnacentral:rRNA from 1 species